GGAGAGAUGUCUGAGUGGUUGAAGGAGCACGCCUGGAACGCGUGUAUAGGGGUUUACUCUAUCGUGGGUUCAAAUCCCACUUUCUCCGCCA
rnacentral:tRNA from 1 species